rnacentral:rRNA from 1 species
AGUGAACGCUGGCGGCGUGCUUAACACAUGCAAGUCGAACGAGAACGGAUUAUAGCUUGCUAUAAUUGUCAGCUAAGUGGCGCACGGGUGAGUAAUGUUUAGGUAAUAUGCCUCUUACUAAGCGAUAACAAAUGGAAACGUUUGCUAAUACCUUAUACUCCUUAUUAACAGAAGUUAAUAAGGGAAAGAUUUAUUGGUAAGAGAUUAGCCUGUAUUGUAGCAGUUAGUUGGUGGGGUAAUGGCUUACCAAGACUAUGACACAUAACUGGUUUGAGAGGAUGAUCAGUCACACUGGAACUGCGACACGGUCCAGACUCCUACGGGAGGCAGCAGUGGGGAAUAUUGCACAAUGGACGAAAGUCUGAUGCAGCAACGCCGCGUGGAGGAUGACACAUUUCGGUGCGUAAACUCCUUUUAUAUGAGAAGAUAAUGACGGUAUUAUAUGAAUAAGCACCGGCUAACUCCGUGCCAGCCGCCGCCGGUAA